rnacentral:rRNA from 1 species
AGAGACAGCAGCCGCCGCGGGAAUACGUAGGUCCCGAGCGUUGUCCGGAUUUAUUGGGCGUAAAGCGAGCGCAGGCGGUUAGAUAAGUCUGAAGUUAAAGGCUGUGGCUUAACCAUAGUACGCUUUGGAAACUGUUUAACUUGAGUGCAAGAGGGGAGAGUGGAAUUCCAUGUGUAGCGGUGAAAUGCGUAGAUAUAUGAAGGAACACCGGUGGCGAAAGCGGCUCUCUGGCUUGUAACUGACGCUGAGGCUCGAAAGCGUGGGGAGCAAACAGGAUUAGAUACCCCGGUAGUCCCUGUCUCUUAUACA